UACGGAGGGUGCGAGCGUUGUCCGGAAUCACUGGGCGUAAAGGGCGCGUAGGCGGCUUUUUAAGGGUGCGGUGAAAGCCCGGGGCUUAACCCCGGGUCGGCCGUGCGAACUGUUUUGCUUGAGCACUGUAGAGGCAGGCGGAAUUCCGGGUGUAGCGGUGGAAUGCGUAGAGAUCCGGAAGAACACCGGUGGCGAAGGCGGCCUGCUGGGCAGUAGCUGACACUGAGGCGCGACAGCGUGGGGAGCAAACAGG
rnacentral:rRNA from 1 species